UGAUAAGCAAGAACAACUCAAAAUGCCUGAAAAUACAGAAAAACAAGAUCAGAAGAGAAAAUACAAGUAGAACCUGAACUGGAAUUGGCAUAUUGCACCAAAGGCAGACAUAUUUUAAGAAUACAUAUUUCUUCCAUAUUAGAUUUGUCAGAAUACCACCUGCUGGGGCUCACGUGGAGUGACUUCAGCCAGGAAGCCACCGAUCGAAACCUAAUCAACGCAACAAGUGCCACCCCAGCAUGCUUCACUUCAGACUUUGUCCAGGGACUUCAGGUGUGGAAUGACAACUCUUCAGCUUCAUUACUCUGCCACCAGGUUCCAGAGGCCAGCAGGAUGCCGACCAGACUUCCCUGGACUGAAGACCCCACCAAUAUGUCCUGGAGCUCCAGUUCUCCAGAGACCUAACUUACUAGGGAAAGAGAGAAGCAGACUGGGAAUAUGGAUCAACCAGUAAACACACGUGCUCAGAGGGGAAGCAAUAACAGAAGCCAGACCUUCCACCUUCUGUAACCCACAGCGACCCUGGGUGCAUACUCCCAGAGGGAUAGAGAAUGGGAAAGCUAUCAGGGGAGGGGAUGGGAUAUGGAGAUCGGGUGGUGAGAACUGUGUGGAGUUGUACCUGUCCUAUCCUAUGGUUUUCUUAAUG